GAUUAUUACCACACCAUUCCUCGGAGUGACGGCAGGAAAACUGAGCGGACGGCCCUGGCUCAAAGGUGCUCCUAAAUACAAGGUGUAGAAUACACCAGACGCCUCGCCUGCCACUGACCCACCAAGAUCAUAGGGAAUGAAACCAGCACAUCACAGACACGGCCUUCUGGGAUUCUCACCGACGACUUCACGUCUGGUAAAAGUGCCUUCCCACACGACGCAGAGAGUCUCCACUUAACUUGCAUCGAAGCACUCCCACGGCUCUCCAUCGCGCUUGUCGAUGCACCACAUGUAUGCAGUACACUCAGAGGCCAACAGAGGGCAUCAGAUUCCCUGGAACUGGAGUUUAGGGUUUCUCACCACCUUGUGGCUGCUGGGAAGGGACCUUCCUUUCCCACUUCCUCCUUCCUCACUACAUCUCCUAAUCUCUGAGCUCAGGGAGGGCUCCUCCCUGCAAUUUCUUUUUCCUUGCGCCUUGUAAGAAACAUGAAGUCAGUAUUUCCACCUCCUUUCAAAAUCUCAUUCAAGCUAGGCAAGUAUUUUUUCUACAGAUCCAAGAUUUUAAAUCGCCACCAUGUGACUGCAUGUGACAGACCUGGGAACAGCCAGUGCUCUAAAAUGUCUCUUCAGCUCUGAGAAACACAUGAACAGAGAAACGGCUAAUCUGAUGUUGACUUCUCAAAAGCAAAGGUGCAGUCAGGAGGAAAAAGGAUUAAGUCUUGAAAUUACUCAAUCAAAAUGCAGCCUGCUUCUAACUGUAUACUACUGAAGAAAAAUACUGUUCCAUGACACUUGCCAAGACUGAUAAAGCACUUUGUCCAAGGACAAGGAAGAGUUAUUGCAGUAGGCAUAGGUACCCCACAAUGGGAUUUUGGAGCAGAGGAGAGAAUAGGGGGUCAAAAGUGAACAUACCAAUGCUGUAUCAGAAUAAACAGUCAGAAAGCAAGGAGAAGUUCGGUGAGUGGGAGAAAAAAGUGAGAACGUGCACGACGGAGAGCCCCAAAGACCGAAGAGAGAGUCUGGCUUUGGUGACCGUUUGUGUGAGGGGUGAACCGGUUGGGGAGUCCCGGCUCCUCGCAGUGGGGAAAGCAUCGCAGCGGUGGAGGGAGAGGUCGAUGCUCCGGUCUGCGCUUCCGGCAUCCUCCUUUCCUUCCCUGUGGGUCGGUCUCCAUUUCUGAUCCUUCCUGGAAGUGUCCUCAUGGUUGUUCUUACCCAGAAGUGUGUCUCCCGGAGUGUCCCCAGGCGGGCAGGCUAACGACAAAGGCUGACCAUCAUAGGAGAUUCCAGCUGGACCACCCAGAGAGGAAGUUUUGCUAAACACAGUCCAGGGUGACCAGAUAGGGUAGGACAGUCAGUCCCAGUGGGAUUCUCAUACAGAUAAUAGCCUGAUUAGGUAUCGAGGUUGGGAGAUUUUGCGUAAUCUGGCUGAAAAGAUACAUGCUGAAAUUGGGCAGAAUACAGGUAGAUAGGAGAGUUCUAAGGUGAAGUGUAUUUGAAAAGAGCGCAGAGGAGCCUGGGCAGAAUUUUGGUAGAAAGAAUUUUGUUCGUACUCAGAAAAGUUAUGUACAAAAUAAACAUAUACUAAAGGUGUUAUACAACAGAAACUAAGAACAGUAAAUACCAAUGGCUCCUCACUGAAGGAAAGGGCUUUGGGAAGAAGGAAAAUAAAACCACGAUGCGUGGACAGGGUAGGGUAGGGGGAGAGGAAGACAGAAAAAAGUUAACAGGGCAGUGGUAGCAUCUCGGGUUCACGGGGCAGUGGCAGCAUUGGGGGUUCACCAGGCAGUGGCAGUGUUGGGGGUUCACCAGGCAACAGCAGUACUGCAGGUUGACAUUUAUGAGGCUAAAACUCCAAUUCCUGGGGCUAAAAGUCAAAUAAGAUAGAAAUCAAGUAAUAUUGUAUGAUGGGGUGUUAUUAAGGUUUAAGCCUUUCAAGGUCUUCUUCCAAAGGUGAAUGGGGACAUAAAUUAUUAUGUACAUUAAGCUAAAUACAUUAAAAUGUCUCACCUUUACACCAUUCAAGUAAUACAUAACUUCUGAUUAAUUCAAAUAGAAGUAAAAAAUUUCCAAUUCAACAAACAUAAGAAAUAAGGGCUGGCAAGACACCUCAGGCAGAAGCCCACACAUCUGGACCUCACUAGCUGGGUCCCUGGAGAGUACCAACUCCUAAGAGUUGUCCUCUGACUGCUAUAUGUAUUAUAUACCUGUGCACACACAGUAAGAAGCAAGCAUGUACACAUAUACACACACAUACACACACAGGCACAUACAUACAUACAAGUAACAUGUACACACAUACACACACAGGCACACACACAUACACACACAUCACACAGGCACAUACAUACAUACAAGUAACAUGCACUCAUGUACACAGAUACACACACAGGUACACACAUACACACAUAUAUCACACAGGCACAUACAUACAUACAAGUAAUACAUACACAUGUGCAUACAGAUACACAUGCAGUUGUACACGUAUACACACAUACAAACACAUAGGCACACACAUACAUACAAGUAACACAUACACACGUGCACACAGAUACACACACAAGAACACGCAUAUAUACACAUAUAUAUACACAGGCACACACAUACAUACAAGCAACACAUAUACACAUGUAUGCACAUACAUAUACACAUCAAUACACAUACACACAUACACAAAAUUAGGUCUCCUUUUCAUAAUAUGUAUAACAUUGUAUAUGUUCAUAUGUAUGAACAUACAUACACACAUACACAUGUAUAUAUAUACAUACACACAAAUAGAAUAAUAAGGAAAAAUGAGCUUCUGUUAUCAACGAAGCAACAGAACCAACGAGAGGCUCUGCCUGAAAAACAGAGUAGGAGAAGAGGACUGACUUCCAGAAAGUUGUCCUCUGUCCUCUGUUCACAGAAAGUGACAUGAGCACACACACACUAAUACACACACAGACACACAUGCAAGCCCCCACAUACCACACAAAUAAAUGAACAACACACAUCUCUAAAGAAAAAGCAUGGAUAAGUAUAUGAACCUAUGCAUAGUGUUAUACAUAUUGUUUAGAAAGCGGAGAUCCGAUUUUGUAGUAUUUUCUUCACAUUGAUGAACAGAUGCAGAAGAGAAAAUUAAGUGUUGAUAAGCAUCCCAGCAUGCAUGUAUAUGUGCAUAACUUGAUACAUUCAUUUUAGAGAAAGAAUAGCAAAGAACAUUUGGAGGGGAAAAAGCAAAGUAAGAUGUUCACACAUACACACAACCUUUUAAGUAUAUUUAUAAAAUUUGUGUACUUUGAGUGACCAAAGGAGAGAAAAAAAGAUGGAUACAAAAACAGGCCAUACAAAUGUCAGAACCAGAUGUGAGAGAGAUAGUGGGGCAAGUCCAUGGUGAAGCACUUGAUAAAAAAAUAACAAACAAACUUUAGAAUUCUCCUUUCCUUAUUAAGAAGUAAAAUACAUCAUAAGCCACAAGACAGGAAACAACCAAUUUGGUUUAUUUAAGACUAAAGAUGUGUAACAAUUGGAAAAUUUAAAGUAUAGAGAAAGGAGACAGACGGGAGGAUCCUGGGAGCUCACAGGCAAGCUAGUCUGGGGAAUCCUGUGGCAAAGCUGCACCACCCCUACAAAGUGGAAAAUGAAGACCAUCAUGCAGCACCGAGAGAGAGAGAGAGAGAGAGAGAGAGAGAGAGAGAGAGAGAGAGAGAGAGAGAGAAAGAGAGAGAGAGAGAUUUUUUUAAGUACAGAUUUUCUCAAAUGGCCACCUAAAGAAAAUUCACAGACCACAAAGAAAUUUCCAACAUAACAGAUAAAAACCACAGUCAACCAGCGAUUGCACAAAACAGAUACUCCCACCUCGUUUAUAAUGACAAAUAUUGAAUUAGGGAUCAUAAUAUAAUCUUUGAAAUUGUCAUCAAAUUGGCUAGAAUUUUAAGAUCCUCUUAGCUGCACAACGCCAAGUAUUAGGACAGCGAGCACUCACUCAUUACGAUGGCUGGUGUGUGCUGGAUUUACCCAGGAAGGUAAUUCAGAAUCGUCUAGGAAGACGUAUUUCCAGCACACAGGCAGGUCACUUUCUUAGCUAUAUCCUGGGGAUUCUCUCUCAGGGCCACAAGAGAAAAUUGGCAGUCAUGUUUGAGCAUGGCUACUUAUUACUGAGGAGAGAAACAGGAACAAUGUUCAUCUCAAAGAAAGUGGAUGAAUUGUUACUGAAAUAAUUUAUCCAGCUGCCAGAUGAUUGACAGGUACACUCUGGGCCGCGGACAAAUCCAUACGUAGGAUACUGAUUAAAGAUGCUAUAGGAGAUCUGUACAGCAUGACCCCACUUACGUAAAGCCUCAACAACAUGUAAAUGUAAAUAAAUUGGUCAAAUGAGGAGCCUUUAAACUUUACUG